UAGCUUGGAUCAUGGGAUUUGCGGGCUUUCCAAGUCGGCUUUCCUUAAAUGCAUUAGCAGAGCUUUUGCUGCUAGCUAUUAGUGUGAUAGUUAUCUACGCUAUUAGUGAGCUGCAUGAAUGGAGCUCCGCUUCUAAUCGUCUUCACAGACAAUUUUGACAAUCUGACCUCAAAUCAGGUAGGACUACCCGCUGAACUUAA
rnacentral:misc_RNA from 1 species